AUACGUAGGGAGCGAGCGUUGUCCGGAAUUACUGGGUGUAAAGGGUGCGUAGGCGGCUAUGCAAGUCAGAUGUGAAAUCUAUGGGCUCAACCCAUAACGUGCAUUUGAAACUGUAUGGCUUGAGUGAAGUAGAGGCAGGCGGAAUUCCCGGUGUAGCGGUGAAAUGCGUAGAGAUCGGGAGGAACACCAGUGGCGAAGGCGGCCUGCUGGGCUUUAACUGACGCUGAGGCACGAAAGCGUGGGUAGCAAACAGGAUUAGAUACCCUGGUAGUCCACGCUGUAAACGAUGAUUACUAGGUGUGGGGGGACUGACCCCUUCCGUGCCGCAGUUAACACAAUAAGUAAUCCACCUGGGGAGUACGACCGCAAGGUUGAA
rnacentral:rRNA from 1 species